rnacentral:pre_miRNA from 1 species
AGGAGGAACAACCCCAGUGGCGGGGCAGCUCUGGAGCCCUGGAGUCAGCUCCCCAGUAACUGCUCCGUCUGCAGGGCCUGGAGGCUCCGGGGCGGG